GGGAACUGCUUGUAGGUGGGAUCCUGCCAAAGGCUGCCAAGCUCUGGGUAGUGGAGUUGCUGCCAGCAGAGGAGAGGUGGUGAGCAAAGCUGUCGGUGCUGGGUUUGCCUUGCAGGAGAAGGGGCUUGUGAUGUAGCUUCAGUUGGGUUUGUGUUUUGAAUUAAGGGUUGGAAGUAGAUGAGAAGACACGGUGUUACCCAGUUUCUGAGAGCCCUCAGGAUGCCAGGCUUGUGAGGUGCUGGGGGGGCUCCUGCUGGGCUGCUGCUUGUUGCCCUCAAGCCUGCCAAAAUCCCUUUGAAAGCACUGACCAUUGCUGCUCUUGGCUGUAAGGCAAAAAUUCCUUUAUGUGUUCUUGACAGCUUUUAGUAGCUUGUUUGAUAAAUCAGAUAAAAAACAAACAAAAAAAGUGCGGCUAGAAAUUUUUCCUUCCCCCUUAUUUGCAUAAUAAUUAACACAAUGGUAAGUCAAUUCAAGUGUAGCGAAUAAACCCCCUAAUUGUCCAUAAUUUCAUAACUAUUGUUAGAGGAAAGUGGAGUGUAAGUUCAAAAUAUUUACUUGCCAGAGAGAACAGUGUUAUUUCAGGUUGGGAUACCAGGCAAGGUCCUUAAAUAGCAAUCAAAUGCACUAUAUUUGAUUAAGUGGUUGCUACUUCCAGAUCUAUGCUUUUGCCUCUUCCUUCCUUCUCCUGCCUGUGCUGUUGUGGUGUGAUUGUCCAAAUCCAGUCCUGACAAAAUCAUCCAGGUUAACAGAAACCCUACAGUUAAAGGUCUUGCAGCUCACUGGGAUCAUUUUGCCAAGAAAGCAAGUGCAGCUGCCCUUGAUGCUGGCACAACUAUGUGUAGGAGUUUGUGAUGGGGUAGGGAGCUGCAGCCUCACAACCUGCUUCAGGUGAAGCUGGAAUGAUUUUUCUCAUUGUGCCUUAGGGUUUUCUGUGCUAGUCUCACAGACUCUAUUUGGCUCCCAUAUGCAGUUUUGUUGCCAGGAAUCAUAUUUUUGUGUUGGGGCCCAGACAAAUAAGAGACUCGGCUAAAGAUCAGCACCGUUGAUAUCUCAGCUGUUGUACAGUUUGUGCAGGAAGAAACUGUUUCAUAUUCAGUUUUUAUGCCAAUAUAUCUGUUUCAGAUACAAUGAUGUAAGUUUCCUCCACCUGGGGUGGGGGAGGACGGGAAGAAAGGUUAAAUCUAACUUAUUCCUAUCUGCUUGAAAUUAUAUAGACAAAAAAAAUCUGCCUUGUAGUGCACUCACAGCAAGAUAUGUUAUUCUCAGUAUAGGUAUCCACAUAACAGUGUAAGUGAACUUUAUUUAACUGAUGUAGUUAAAGAAUAAAGAUGGUUGAUGUAAUCACAGAGGAAAGAAACAUGUCACGCAGUUGUGAUAGUUGUUCAUGUGAACAGAUAUGGCAUAAAUAAAUGCAAGUAGAAAAGAUACAGGUAUGGUCCCUUUAAGGGUGAUAAAGUUACCAAACACCUCUUAAAUAUCUUUGAACUGAACUGCUGUACAAAAGCUUCAGUAAAAGUAGUGAACUCUGUUCCAUUUCUGAUGAAGCAGUUGUAGAUGCCUGAUCCCAAGGGACAACUCCUGGGCUGACCUCAGCUGUGAACCUUCCCGCAGCCUACGUGCAGCACCUAAAUUCCUGAGAGGGGAUUUCCUACUGACCUUAAUGGCUCUUUGCUCAGGGCACAAGUUGUUCAGUUGUCCUAUAAUGAGGCUCCUAAAUCCUCCUAUUGACAAUACAGGGAGUGUAGGUGCCUAAUGCAGAAUUCCCUGCAGGCCGUGGGCUGGGACACCAAGUGUUGUAGCCCAUCAGUCUCUCACUGGGCUUGGGCCAAAAACUGCUAAUCCAACACCAACAGUAGUUCAUCUGCUCUGUUUUCUUUCCUGUUCUUGCUUUAAAUAGUAAUGAUGAAUCUGAUUAGCUGCAAGACAGCAGAUGCUAUUGUAAUAUAAGAUUCGAAUAGCAGACAUGAGAACAGACUCUAGUCUUGGUUUAAAUGACAUAUGUUAUUUAUUGUUUAAUGUUUUCCUGUGCAAUGGAAGCAGUUUUCUGCUCUUUGAGAAACUCCUUAUAGAAUAAUAUGUACAAAAUCAGGGCCAUUAUUAUUUUAUGCUUAUGUAUAAGUCUAAGAAAAUAAAACUGCUGUAUCUAAAAGAGCAGCAUAUAUUUUGAAACAUGAUACUGAUCACAGAAGGGUUAAGUGAUAAGCUGAUAGAACUGAUCUGUUUCUGUCAUCUCACCUCGGUAAAAUAAUCCAACAUGAUACUUACGGUUAAAGGUCAACAAAAGAAGUGUGUAAAACUCUGUUACUUCUGGUUAUGUAUAUGGCAUAAGAAUACAGGGUACAAUUCACUACACCGAAACCCAUAAUAGUUUACCAGUUUUAUUCUGACAAAAGCUCUAAGUGGCUUGCACUUACUGAGAGCUAUCAAAAAGGAGUUUAGUUUUGGCAGGUAUUAUUUUAUAUGUUGUAGCCCUAACAAGAUAUACAAAUUAUAUAUAAAUAGAAAACUGCAGUGUUAAAUAAAAAUAAAAACCCAACCCCUACUUGUUUAUGUUGAAGUUCAUUGGCACCUUAGCUGUAUGUAACUGUGAUAACUGCAUGAAUAAGAAAUCAAAGUUGACAGGUUUGCAAAUCUAGUGAAUGGAAAGGCCACUGAUGGAUGUCACCUGAGCAGAACACACUUGGACUGGUGCCACUCCUCAGCUUCCUCUUGUGACUUAACUUGUCUUGGUAGGAACACAUGGGGAUUCCCCGUGAGUACCACAGCCUGCCCCAUGAUUCAGAAAGAUGGUGGUCCCCACAUGUGAUGGGAUGCCUCUGUGAGGAGAGUCAGAGCACACGUCAGGUCAAGAUGACUGCAGAGAUAGUUGUUUUGCCUUGGCAGACACUGCUGGUAGCUGCUCUGGGAAGACAAGUCUGAGUAGGUACAAGCCUAUGGAGAGGCAAAUCCCAUUCUCCUAGAAGCAGAGGUCCUUACCAAAGGCAGGCCACAAACCUGGCUGUUUCCUUCCUUGCCACCCUGAUACCAUUUAGCGGAGCAGCUUUGGAGACCGUCCUCCUCAGACAGCCUCCAACUCAAGAUUUAGCCACGAAGCAGCAUAUAAUCAAGAAAGCAACACCGGCAAUCUUUAGCGUAGGAAUGCGACUCCAGUGCUGAUGGAGCAUUUGCCAUCUAAUUUCAGUAACUUCUUUCAACCAAUAGAAAAAUCUCUGACAGGCUUGGCUGCCAAGUAUUACAGGCUUUGAAGUCUGUUGGCAGGUAAAAGCUGCAUGUCAGUGACUUAAAAAAAACAAACAUCAAAAGGUAUGUCAGGGAAUGCUGUUGCAAGGGCUGGAAAUCUAAAAGAAAAUCCUCAGAGAUAAUAUUAAAGAACUUCAAAGAUCGCUCUCUGGAUACUCACAUCAACUAUUUCAGUUAUACAGGCAUUCUUAGGAACCUUUUUCUUUAUGUGAAGAACCUUAACAUACCAUAGGAAAGGAAUGGAAUACCUGUUUCUCAGGUGUCUUGUACGAAUAUGCUUGUUCAUUGCUCCUGCAACUACUGAAACAUUACCCAAAGCAGACCAACAGGGACUUAGGCUGGUUUAACUGCUGUGACAGCAGAAGGGAUAUGCUCAUUAAAUACACCUUUGAUAUUCUAUAAAAUCAAAGUUAUGAAAGCAAAGAGGGUGAUGCUGUUUCACCAGUGAUAAGCCCCUACUGUGCAAUGUUCACUUUGACUGCGGUGAGUCCACAGACAGAGUCACCUCUAAUAUGUACAUGAAAUUUGGGAAUGAAGAUGAGAUGAACACAGAUCAAGAAAAUAUUAUAAGAGAAAACUAACUGUAGGAUUUAAAUCAAUUCUCAAGACUACAGCAAAUACAUAUAUUGCACGCCACCAAGAGUACAACAUUUGUGUGGAUUACUUUCUUUAGCACUCGCUUUUCUUACAACGUGAAGCGGCAGGAUGAUACAGUUUGCUUAGCAGCAGGAGCUGUGAAGGACCUCAACAUACCAAGUGAUGGAAUCUCCAGACCUACUGGCAGCCCAAAGCCAAGAGCUGUGACAGAAAGCAUACAAAUCUAUUCUUCAAAAGUCACUAAGUUGGCAGUGUGAAGGAACAAGUGAAAAACUUAUUCAAUAAUGCUAUUUGAUAUCAUAUGUGACCUGUUAUUAGUGUGUAAGAGCAGACCAUUAGGCUCCUAGAAUGUUCAGUGUCUCUGACAUGGUUAAUCAGAAUGGCUGCUAUAUUAAUCAACAACUUGUGAAACAAUGGGUGGAGAGAGGAUUUCAGUUUUGGGAACCCCUUUGAGUUACCACCUUCUGUCAUUCCUUAACUGAUCACCAAAAGGUGCCAAGAUCAAACUGAGCUGUGAUUCGCUUCAGGAAAAAAAAUGAACAAGCUAAACAGGAACACGGAGCUUCAGUUACCAUUUUUCUACCCACUCAGUCCAAACAAGAUUGUCCAACAGUAUUGACUCACAAAAGGAAUUCAGCAUUUUAAGGAUCAAUAUGGACAGCUCAGUGAAGACAUCUCUCUGUAAACCAGUCAAAACCAGAAACCAGCAAACAGGAGAAGCAAAUGAAAACAGUAAGUAAAAUAAAUGUAAUUCUUAAAACCAAUCAGAGGUUUGCUCUCAUCUGAAAUAUUAGGAGGGGUUUUGGGACCAACAGAGUAUGAGUGAUUAUAAUACUUAAGGGCAACAAAAAAUAGAUGUCAAAUACUGUACUUUAGAACUUAGUGCAUAAUGUUUGAAAUUAGAGUAAGAUCCACUAUGAAAGCAAAUGUGUGGAAUCUAUACUGUCUUUUAGAGUAUCUGAUACUAUGUACAGACAGAAGACCAGAUAAUUUGAGUCUGCUCUAAUAAUGGUAAUUCCUAUGUACUUCCACACUUUCACCUGGAAUUUUGAAUUUAUGAGCUGUGCUUAUAAGAAAUGAUCUGUUGUUUUGUAUUUUGGAAAGGUAUGAGGUAUUAAGCAAAGGAGUGUUUUUACAGAGGAUAGAUCAGAGUCACAUUAAAAAAUCAGGUGUACAGAGCAAAAAGUAUGAUCAGAAAUCAAGGACAUGCAGAAAGGAGACUUGUGUGUAGCAGUUAAGCUCUUGUGGGCUAUGGUGUCAAUUAACAAAGAUUAGGACAAGUACUCCUGUCCCCAUACAGUGGGGAAGUAAGGCAGUAAUAGCACAGAAAGUUUGCAAGCAUCAAUAUAUUUAAAAGUCAAUGAUCUGUACACCCUAAGCUCUCUAAGCAUUUUUUUUUUUUUAUCAUUCAAGCAUUUUUUUAAUCAUCUUCUCCCCACGUUAUUCUGAAAUUUUACUUUCUGCUCAGAAAGACUAUCUUCCCACAUCUUAAGUUCCUGUAACAACCCAGUAAUCUACAGGAUAUGCAGGAGGUGGAUAAGAAAAGGGCAAGAAGAGAAAACAGGAGGUACAAAGAAAUGGAAGCAUGUCUUCUCUCUGUUCUGCAGAUCAAAGAGAGUUUAUGUCCGUUUCACCCUGUAGGCCCCACUCCAAAGAUCAAACCUGUGUUAUAAUCAGCAUGUUUCUUGGAGGUGGAGGCUUAUGGGGUUUGAGUGGCUGAUAUUAUAUCCACAUUACUUCACCCACACUGGAGUUUCAAGUUCUAUGAUGUGACUAAAAAUAUGAUUCCAUUUGGUUGAUAUUAGCUGUAUUGAUGAGGCUGUCAUUGAGAACAGUUCGUAUGAUUAUUCAUAUAUGGAUAUAUACACAUACAUGAACUGACACAUAAUUAAAUGUAGCUCAACUUCAGAUGUAUAAUUUCCGUCUGUUAAAAAUCAAGCAACAAGCUAAUACUCUGGUCUAGCACUUCUGUAGAAUGAUAAAAGCUUAUCACUUAACACUGAUGACUGCAUUAAUAGAGCAGAUCAUUAAUUCCCCUGCAAACCAUGCCAAAUUCUACAACUAAGAGAUAUACCUAAGAGAUAACAUAGAUUUCACAAGAGAGACCACAUCAAUCCUUGGAACCGUCCUUCUUGCUCCACUAGUUACGAAGUUUUCAGAUAUCGUAAUACUUUACUUAACAUUAAACAAGUGAACAAUCUUGCUGAAUUUAUAUGGACUUAAAAACCAAGCAAGUGCAAGUCUACAGAAUGGAGACCAGCACUAUACAAAUUACCUUCAAACCUAACUAACAUACGUGGCACAGUUUGCGUCUUGCAGCUUGCCUCAAUUUAUCUAACUUAAUAUCAUUCACUUGCCACCUUUCACAACAUUUGUAAGUUGCUCUCCCUGAUGUUAACAUAUGUUACAUUGGACCGACAACAAACAACAUAAUUUUUCAUUUAAUUAUUAGAUGAUAUGUUGUUCUCAGAAUAUAGUUGGGUGUUGUAUGCCAAGUGCCAACAGCAAAUAAUACAGGUUCUUCCUGUUCUGACAGAAACCAAAUCAGAGCAUCAUCUUAUUUGUUAACCCAGAUUCCAUUAAAAAAAAAGUAUUCAUGUUAACUAUUAGUCGGACAAAAUAUUCACUCCAUAACUAUUUCACAUCUUCCCAACUUUUCACUCGCUCCUUAAAACUCAACUGGCUAAGAUCAAGAUUGAUUGAGGACGUGACUUGAGAAUCUGAACUGUUUAGCAAUUUUAUUACUGCUUUUUAUUAAGCAGACUGUUUUGUUUUAAUUAAUUGUGAAAUUGAAGAACUGCUUAGGCAGAUACUGCUGCUUAACACUUCAGACAUGGGACCAUAGCCUAACACUUGCUGUUAUGAGGUCUCCCGAUGUUUAUUAUAGGGUUUUAAGGCUUUAAUAGUAAAUAGGCAUUUUUUUUCCCUAUAGGCUUCAGUCUUCCAGAGUGCACUUCCCAGUUUAAUUAGCUUGCUUUGUAUGGAUGUUCCUAUAUAGAUGGUAAGAAGUUUGAACCAUACCUUGGACCAUAUUAAAAACACAACUGUCAAUUUGAUCUUGCUGCUUCAGAGAAACUACACGCACUAUUAUUAACACAGGUGGCAGGUGUGGUACUCUUUGCCUUGUUUUCUUCCAAGCUACCUUUCCACCUCUAGCUUUUACAUUUGAGAUACGUUUGAAUUAAUAUCGCUGUCAUUUGCUACCCUGGAAAACUCCCAUAGCCUCAAGAAUACCAAGAAAAUAAAACAGCUGCAAUAUAUGAAGUAUUGAAAUACAGAUCUCAUAUUGCAAAACAAAGAAGGAGCUUUUGUCACAGUGUGGGUGAUUUUAUCAAGGAUAUGCUUAGCCAUGACUGCUGUUGGAAACUGAUGAAAUAAUGGAUCAAUAGAAAUCUCAUGUUGCGAACUACUAAGUGCCUAUUUAUCAAUCAUACUAAGAAAGUUAUUCUGAAAAAAAGCAAUAUUCAAGAGUGGAGGUAGCAGAAGAAAGAGUGGAGGACUGGAUAUAUGAGACAAGUUUUUCAGAAGAUGAUAGGUGUGAAACUAUUUAAAGACAGGUUAGAAGAUAAAAAUAUGUAAUAGCACCUGGUAGUGGCUAGCCUCAAAAAGUGGGAUAAGGACACUGCAGAAGGCAAACACAGCAGAACACAAGUCAUGCAGUCAUGCAAACAAUAAAGGUCAGCAUGGCCUAAACAGAUGGACAUUGUACUUUAAGAAAGCCAGGCUAUAUCAGAUAGACAGUUCAGGGCCUGGGGGGGGGGGGUGUACAAUCAGCCAAAGCUUGGGAGGGAUGGGGAGGGAUGAAGACUUGUAAAGAAAUGCACAGCAAUAUCAUAGUGCUUUUGACCUCUGCACAGAUAUUGAAAGUAGCAGCAAAAUUGUACUUUAAAGAUUCAGUAAACUUGACAACUUGUAGAAAUUUUCAUUUUUGUAAUGAUUUGAAUACAGUAGGUUUACUUUGAUGAAGAAACUACCUCUUUUUAGGUUCUCAUAUUUACCUACUGCCAAAGUACCUAAGAUUUUUUAAAAAAUGAGAUUUUUUACAAACAUUUAUCUUAUAAACCAAGAUUAAUUUAUUAAUGCUGUGUAGUUCUGCUGUAUAUUUUCCUGAGGAUCAGAAAUACUUCAAAUAGUUUAUGGUAUUUUUUCCCAAAACACCUGUGUACGGCAGAUAUUUUAAAGCAUGGAGAUCACUGGUUUGUCCAAGGUCUCAGAACAGGUGCUAGAGAACGGGAUUCAAUAGUCCUGACUCUAGUGCUCUAGAAAAUGUGAACAAUUUAUGUUUUGAAACUCUGUCUUUUACAGCAAAACAUAAACUUGCCCCAAAAUGCCUCAUAAUACCAAGGAUGGGGUGAGGAAGCAAGAAAGAAAAGUGUAUGUGGUGAUUCACAAUGAAGAAACAGAGAUUACUUCCCUUCAAACUGCAGCUUCAGCUCUGCCACACCAGGCAGACAUAUCUGAAAAAAAAAAUGGAAAUACUUGAUAAGUGGGCUGACUUACGUGCACACUCAUACUACAACAACAGAAGCACAACAUUCAAAUGUAUUCAAAUUAAACGUAGGCAAAUGAAUGAAAACCUUUUUUAGACUAAAAAUAGAUACAUUGAUUCUAACCGCA